rnacentral:tRNA from 1 species
AAUUCUCACCAGGAUUUUCACCAGGAUCAAUGACUGAAAAACCACCGUUAUCAUUCAACUAUGAGAACC